rnacentral:rRNA from 1 species
ACAGUAACGUUGCCUGAC